AGAAUCAACGCUGGCGGCGUGCCUAACACAUGCAAGUCGCACGAGAAAGGGACUUCGGUCCUGAGUACAGUGGCGCACGGGUGAGUAACACGUGAAUCAUCUACCUCCGAGUGGGGAAUAACUGAGAGAAAUCUUAGCUAAUACCGCAUAACACUUACGAGUCAAAGCAGCAAUGCGCUUGGAGAGGAGUUCGCGGCAGAUUAGUUAGUUGGCGGGGUAAUGGCCCACCAAGACGAUGAUCUGUA
rnacentral:rRNA from 1 species